GCCCCCGUUGUGUAGCGGCCUAGCACGCCGCCCUCUCACGGCGGUAGCGCCGGUUCGAAUCCGGUCGGGGGUACAA
rnacentral:tRNA from 3 species